ensembl:lncRNA
UCAAAAUGCCUGGAAAUAGUACAGUGGUUUGACCAAGAUGACCAGGAGUCCUGGAAAAGGCAGAGAGAAGAAGAGGACCUGGUGAAAACUAGGAGAAUAUUGUAAUUGUACUAUUUGUUUGUCUGCUAUGAUGUUACUCUAUUCUGAUUCCAGUAUCUGAAGACAGUUCACUUGUGGAAGAGUUAAACACUCGUCUAAUUUGGGAUCUACACUACAGUCUGGGGCUGUGAUGAAACCACUGUUCAGUGUUGCAGAUGCCUGUCAGGAAUUCUAGGACAGCAAAAGGCAGAUGAAUCAACCUAUCCAGCUUACCUUCUAUUUUUGCUGGUUGCUGUGGCCCUUCAUGAACUGGGACAAAAUUCAUCCUACAGAAGACGUAAGACAAUGUCACAGGGCAUGCACUCUGAGUGAGUCACUGGGAGGUCAUGGUGCUUCCCGUUCACUCUAUUGUCCAGUGGGACAGAAAGAAAGAAAGGAGGACUUCGAUGUUAUUCCUAAAAUGCAGGAGUAAUUGCUCAGAC